rnacentral:antisense_RNA from 1 species
GAUAGCCAUAAAUAAUAAACGGAUCAAGGGUAGGAUGGUUAAUUGUGCGAACCGUUUGGGUUGUGGCAUCGUAAAGUCCGCCCCAAAACAUGGCUUUUGCCGCCAACAAUAACGCCCCAGCACCCAAAAAUAACAGGUGAUGCCCUAAAAUAAUCCCCAGUUGUUUGGCGUUGUUCCA